GGUCCGGCCAUGGCCUGGGAAGGAGAGCCUGUACGCCAUGCCCUGGGGGGUAGCCUUGGAGACCCCAGAGCCAGGGCCAUCUCGGUGCCCCUGGGUGGUCACGUGGGCCGCUUCCUGCAGUGCAGAUUCCUCUUUGCAGGACCCUGGUUACUCUUCAGUGAGAUCUCUUUCAUCUCGGGUAAGCCCCCAGUGUGUGCCAGCCUUAGCCCCUUAGGUUUCCCUGUCAUCAGACAGUUAAUCCUGUGGCGUCCUGAUAUUCUGUCACCCCCGAGAUUCUCAAACUAAGGUGGAAUAAUCAGACCCCGGUUCUUUUGUAGAGUCUUUGUUUUGUUUUGUUUUGGGUUUUUUGUUUGUUUGUUUUUGGUGUUUUACAGACUUUUUUAUUUUAUUCUGUUUUUGAGACAA
rnacentral:lncRNA from 1 species